UGGGCGUUAAGUUGCAGGGUAUAGACCCGAAACCCGGUGAUCUAGCCAUGGGCAGGUUGAAGGUUGGGUAACACUAACUGGAGGACCGAACCGACUAAUGUUGAAAAAUUAGCGGAUGACCUGUGGCUGGGGGUGAAAGGCCAAUCAAACCGGGAGAUAGCUGGUUCUCCCCGAAAGCUAUUUAGGUAGCGCCUCGUGAAUUCAUCUCCGGGGGUAGAGCACUGUUUCGGCUAGGGGGCCAUCCCGGCUUACCAACCCGAUGCAAACUGCGAAUACCGGAGAAUGUUAUCACGGGAGACACACGGCGGGUGCUAACGUCCGUCGUGAAGAGGGAAACAACCCAGACCGCCAGCUAAGGUCCCAAAGUCAUGGUUAAGUGGGAAACGAUGUGGGAAGGCCCAGACAGCCAGGAUGUUGGCUUAGAAGCAGCCAUCAUUUAAAGAAAGCGUAAUAGCUCACUGGUCGAGUCGGCCUGCGCGGAAGAUGUAACGGGGCUAAACCAUGCACCGAAGCUGCGGCAGCGACACUGUGUGUUGUUGGGUAGGGGAGCGUUCUGUAAGCCUGUGAAGGUGUGUCGUGAGGCAUGCUGGAGGUAUCAGAAGUGCGAAUGCUGACAUAAGUAACGAUAAAGCGGGUGAAAAGCCCGCUCGCCGGAAGACCAAGGGUUCCUGUCCAACGUUAAUCGGGGCAGGGUGAGUCGACCCCUAAGGCGAGGCCGAAAGGCGUAGUCGAUGGGAAACGGGUUAAUAUUCCCGUACUUGGUGUUACUGCGAAGGGGGGACGGAGAAGGCUAUGUUGGCCGGGCGACGGUUGUCCCGGUUUAAGCGUGUAGGUGUGUGUUCCAGGUAAAUCCGGUUCACUUUAACACUGAGGCGUGACGACGAGGCACUACGGUGCUGAAGCAACAAAUGCCCUGCUUCCAGGAAAAGCCUCUAAGCAUCAGGUAACAUCAAAUCGUACCCCAAACCGACACAGGUGGUCAGGUAGAGAAUACCAAGGCGCUUGAGAGAACUCGGGUGAAGGAACUAGGCAAAAUGGUGCCGUAACUUCGGGAGAAGGCACGCUGACACGUAGGUGAAGUGAUUUACUCAUGGAGCUGAAGUCAGUCGAAGAUACCAGCUGGCUGCAACUGUUUAUUAAAAACACAGCACUGUGCAAACACGAAAGUGGACGUAUACGGUGUGACGCCUGCCCGGUGCCGGAAGGUUAAUUGAUGGGGUCAGCGCAAGCGAAGCUCCUGAUCGAAGCCCCGGUAAACGGCGGCCGUAACUAUAACGGUCCUAAGGUAGCGAAAUUCCUUGUCGGGUAAGUUCCGACCUGCACGAAUGGCGUAAUGAUGGCCAGGCUGUCUCCACCCGAGACUCAGUGAAAUUGAACUCGCUGUGAAGAUGCAGUGUACCCGCGGCAAGACGGAAAGACCCCGUGAACCUUUACUAUAGCUUGACACUGAACAUUGAGCCUUGAUGUGUAGGAUAGGUGGGAGGCUUUGAAGUGUGGACGCCAGUCUGCAUGGAGCCGACCUUGAAAUACCACCCUUUAAUGUUUGAUGUUCUAACGUGGACCCGUUACCCGGGUUGCGGACAGUGUCUGGUGGGUAGUUUGACUGGGGCGGUCUCCUCCUAAAGAGUAACGGAGGAGCACG
rnacentral:rRNA from 1 species